rnacentral:misc_RNA from 1 species
GAGGUAGUCGAGCUUCAUGUCCUUCGCCUCCACGUUGAGGUUGAGCGCGCCGUGCUGCUGCCGCUGCUGGUGGUGGUGGUGCUCGGCCGCGGCCUUAUCCUCCACCGCCUCGGCCUCGGCCCCGGCGGCGGCGACGCCGAACAGCAUGGCCUCGGCGGCCACGGCGGCGGCGGCGGCGGAGCCGAUGGGCGCGACGGGGACGCGCGCG